GCGCAGUCUCAGGCUCGUGUCUCUGCGCUCCGCCGUCAGCUUGGCGAGUGUGGGAAGCUUGACUCCACGGCCACGGAGUUCUACAACAAGGUCAAGGGCCUUGCUGACACGUUGGCCUCCAUUGGACAGCCGCUCACUGACUCCGAGUUCCACUCCUUCAUCGUCAACGAGCUCGACGAGGAGUAUGAUGCUUUGGUCGAGAUCAUCAACGAGCGGGGCAACUCGACUCCCAUGGCGGUACAUGAGGUCUACUCCCGCCUUCUCCUCACCGAGCAGCGUGUCGAGGCGCGUCGCUCCAAGGCCAGCCACGGCUCCCUCUCGGCGAACGCCGCCACUAAGGGUGGCCGCACCUCGUCCAAGGGGCCGCCGCCUGCCUCGUCUUCGCCAUCUUCAGCUCCCCCCGCGUCCGCAACUCUUCCAGGGGCCGGUGGUCGACGCGUGUGUCAGUUGCGUGGCAUUGAGGGGCACUGGGCCUCCAAGUGUCACAAACGCUUCCAGCGGAGUUUUCUUGGUCUUGGCAAUGACGGCAAGGAUACACGCAACUUUGCCCGUCAGGUCGCCAUGGCUGAUCGUCCGGCGCUGCAGAAGCAACAGGGACACACUCAGUCCUACUCCAUCGAUCCACACUGGUACAUGGACUCUGGGGCGACGGAGCACCUGACGAGCGAGAUGGGGAAGCUUCACACUCGUGAACCCUAUCAUGGCUCCGACAAGAUCCACACUGCCAAUGGAGCAGGAUCGGGGCACGAAGGACAUUCUUCUUAG
rnacentral:rRNA from 1 species